GGAGUGUUAUGAAUGACUACAUAAGAUAGAUAUGUAAUAUAAGAAUAAUAUUCAACUUGUAGCAGUAAUUACUCGUAUAUGUAAGAACAAAAACUCCUUUGGUAAUGUCGGAUCUAGAGUGGUGAUAUGCACACGUGUUGAAUGUUACGGACGCAUCAGCGUCUGAUGACAGUGUUAACAUGGAUCGAUCCUCUUAAUAAAUAAGAUGUAUUUUCGGAGCCGUUGAAUCAAAAUUGACUCGGCUAGAUGAAUAUAGAAGAAAAUCAAGAAUGGAAAAAGCCCAUUUCAACUGAUACUUGACACAUUCAAAGCUCAAAAGAACACUCGGACAAAGCUAAACGACAAAAACUCGCCGCUCCAACUCAGUUCGUCGGUCUCUAAUGGCUUCUCCGCCCAGUUUUGGAAAGUCAAGGAGUGAAAGUAACAAUACAGAACGAAAAAACCCACAAAGAACAGUUCUUGCCGUGGCACCUCUUAAUAGUAUGCCAUAUAUUGGUCCACCGUUGCCACUUAGUUACAGUCCUCCAUCAACAGCACCAUCACCUGCAAGUGAGAAUAAAAAUGUGGAAAGGAUUGGACCUGCCAUUAUAUUUUUGUCUUCUUUCACAACAAAGGAGGACUGGGAGAAUAUUAUGGCCACUAACAAAAUUGGGGUUGCACUGACAGGAAGUGCUGCUGUCGGAAAAAUUGGGCCAAUUAUAGGGUUAAUGGACAUUGGUGAAUGUGAGGAUUCUUACUUGUUUCGUGUUUCCCUUCCUGGAGUAUCAAGGGAUGAGAGAGAAUUUAGUUGCGACAUUGAACCUGAUGGUAAAGUACAAAUAAAGGGAGUGACCACUACUGGAGAGCAGAUAGUGUGCAAGAACUCUCAAAUCUUUCACAUGCUGACACGGAACUUGUGCCCACCAGGACAUUUCUCUAUCUCCUUCCAGCUUCCUGGUCCAGUUGAUGAGGAACAAUUUUCUGGUUCUUUUGGGACUGAUGGGAUGUUGGAAGGCAUUGUAAAGAAAAGGUAAAUCAAAAUGUAAAUGAUUUUCUUUGUGGUUAACAAUAAGUUCAGCCAACAAGCUUUGCAUUUUAUGUAGUGAGGACUUCACAUGAAUAGAUAGAACACGGUUUAAAGUGUUGUGGUCAGGUAGCUGACUGGAAGUUCUGAUUGCUUCUGAUUUUGAGGGAAGUAGCUUGACAGCUGUGCUAAUUUUGGAGAUAUGAGGGUGAAAAUGAGGAUGAUAGUGAUGAUGAGGAUAAUGACAAUGGUGUGGAUAAUGGCUGAUGAUGGCAACAUCGGACAAAUGAUGAACCCAAAAAUGGCACCGGGUGCAAGGACACCUUAAGUGAAAGUUGACUGAAGAUGUUGAAGAGGCACAGGUGUCUGGUGAUGUUGUGUGAUAUUUCUUCCCACGCCCCUUCAGAUAGGUCUGGUUUUCCUGAAACUGUUAACUCAACAAAGAAGGGGUCAAACUCCUGUUCGUUCUCUAGUGUUGCACAAUCAGGGAUCUAAAGGAAAAAGUUUGAACAUGAGGUUGCCAUAUGGAUUUGUGGUGGUUCAUGGGAAAAUUACAUUUUCAAAUGCUCAGAUCUUGGAGGACAAAAACGUUGUGGCAUUUACAGUUCUUGCCAGACACCAGACAUGGUAAUAACAGGCUGCGAUUCUUUGAAAAUUUUGUUCUCUGGAUCAAAGUAGAAAAAUAAUGUACAAAGAUUUGUGUAUUUAUUCUAAAUUUUCAAUGAUAAAUAUAGAAAUUAUUUCAACUAUAUUUUCAUUGUUAUUUUGAAGAAGCUUAAGCUAGCGAGCCUUUGUUUCCCACUGUCAACCUUAUGGUCUUCAUACCAAAAUUCCUGAAGAAAUUUUUCUUAAAUUUGGGAAUGACAAGUCAUAUCCAUUCAAAUGCUAUAGGAAGUCAAGUUUGAAAAUGAUAAACAAAUCUCCUGAAGAUAUUCAAAGGAAAAAUAAUUGAAAGCUAUUAGAAGGUUGAUAACUGAUGUAGUUAUCGUCAGCCAAUGUAGCUGUUUCAGCUCAGCCAUGGUUUUGCAUUUUUCCAAUUGGAGCAAAACUCAAAGGGUACAUAUAAAUAGACUGCUCUGUAAUGGUCUCAAAAUGGGGCAACAAUCAUCUGUCUAAGCUAAUUGAAUCUUUAUCAUACCUAACAAUGUUAUCUCAAACGAAAACUGAAGGAAGAAUUUGGAGUUGAGCCAUGGUCCUUUGAAGUUUGAACAGCAUCUGGGGCAAGCUGUAUUUGUCCCAGCUGGGUGUCCUUUUCAAGUACGAAAUCUUCAGUCCAAUGUUCAGUUAGGACUUGAUUUCUUAUCUCCCGAAAGCCUGGGGGAGGCUGUAAAAUUAGCUGAAGAAAUUCGCUGUCUUCCGAAUGAGCACGAAGCAAAACUUCAAGUAUUGGUGGUCAGAAAAUGAUAUUUUCUGUGCCUUAUUUUUAUAUGCUCUCUACCUUUUUUAUGUUUUCUUUUUUGACGCGCCUUUAAUUUUGUGUCUGGAUAAGAUGUAUGUCUGAUUACUGAGCUUUUUAAUUCAGGUAGGGAAGAUAUAACUUUAUGCUGCUAGUGCAGCUAUUAAAGAAGUCCAGAAACUGGUGCUUGAUCCCAAGCUUGGCUUGUUUCUGAUAACUUAGAGAAAAUGAUCAAGCGAAGGCAGAUAGCUUGUGCUUGAAUUAGUCUAUAUAUGUACCUAGUCACACACUUGAAAAUAUAGGAAGAUUCAAGUCACCCUGAUGGCCAUGAGGCUCGGAUUUAUAUUCAAUAUGUAAAUUUAGUCAUGUAUAAAUCUAAUUUUUUGCACUCACAAAGUUAGGUGUUGGUACCUCAUAGUCAUCUCAAGAAAAACAAUCUGUCAAAUCAAUUUAUAUACUAGAAUGUGCUUCUUUUU